AUGCUUCAUUCAGCAGCAUACAUAAUAAUGCUGGGACAGGAUACAGGAUUAGCAUGGCUCAUGCACAAGCAGAACAUACAAAUUAAUAAAGUGUUCCAUAUUAUA
rnacentral:snRNA from 1 species